UCUGGCGCCGGUAGCUGGUAUUGCCUAGAUGUCUGUAGGGAAGGGGAUCCUCUUUGGAUUAGUGUUCCUAAAGUAGUAGCUAAGUGUUCCUAAGAUAGCUCUUUCCACUCUUCAGUCGUUUUUCCUUUCCGCGUCUACUAAUGGACGUCCGUAUACUGUGUGCCUUAUGCUGGGAAGGAAAGCAGUCCCUUCGUUAUGCGUCCCACAUUACCUCUGACAGAGUACCGGGUACCUUCAGCAGCCGCCGCCUUGGCAGGAUGCCUCAAAUCGCAGAGACUAGUGAGGAGUGUUUCCAGAAGCGGCAUUCUGGUUGCCCCGGGCUACCCACUCUGCGCGGUUUGCACCUGGCCGGAAAAGGGCAGCGUGACCAUGGCAACGUAGGACGCCGAAACCAGCUACUUCCUCUCGGUUGAGGCUUCGAGAUUCUCUACUCCACCUCUCUGGAUAUUUUCCAGUUUCUGCUCGGAAGGCAAACUAUGUAGUAUGCCUUUCCUCUUGGAGAAGUUGAAGGCCAAAAUACAACUCUAAUUUAUACAGCUAGUUGUAUCUUAUAAUGGGAAUAAAGGGUUGGUUACAUGCCAUCUGA